rnacentral:rRNA from 1 species
UACGGAGGGUGCGAGCGUUGUUCGGAAUCACUGGGCGUAAAGCGCGUGUAGGCGGCCUUUCAAGUCUGGUGUGAAAGCCCGGGGCUCACCCCCGGAAGGGCACUGGAAACUAGGAGGCUAGAGUACCGGAGAGGAGGGUGGAAUUCCUGGUGUAGCGGUGAAAUGCGUAGAUAUCAGGAGGAACACCGGUGGCGAAGGCGACCCUCUGGACGGAUACUGACGCUGAGACGCGAAAGCGUGGGGAGCAAACAGG